UUAGCGAUUAAAAAAAUAAGUUACUUUAGGGAUAACAGCGUAAUUUUUUUGGAGAGUUCAUAUCGAUAAAAANGAUUGNGACGGNGAUGUUGGAUUAAGAUAUAAUUUUAGGUGUAGCCGCUUAAAUUUUAAGUCUGUUCGACUUUUAAAUUCUUNCAAAAUCUGAGUUCAAACCGGCGUAAGCCAGGUUGGUUUCUAUCUUUAAAAAAUUAAAAUAUUUCAGUACGAAC
rnacentral:rRNA from 1 species